GUCUCAAAGUAUCUUUUUUGUUUGUACAAUACAUCGUCGCGUCAUCCAGAUAAGUAUAACACUUUCUGUAAGGUUCCAUCAUCCAUUUCUAAGAAGAGAUGUAUUAAGAAAGGAUCAACAUCACCAGUAAGUUAACCAAUUUGGAUUUCCUCCCUUCCUUGGUUUCGUGGGUGUUUACUCCUGGAGAUAUGGAGGUACUGAUGGCUUGUGCAUAUUCUUACUCAUGGCACUCCCGUUGCUUCCUGGAUCUGAAGGCACUUGCUGGAACUGGAGUGGGAUGUACACCUAUGGUAAUUGCAUGCACGAAACAUGCGACGAGCGUUGCCAGAAUGAGGGAUUCACUACAGGGAGGUGUGAGCUCUAUGAUAUUGAGUACACAAUGUACUCGUGUUGUUGUCAGAAACAAAGGUGAUGAUGCUUCAGGAUGUGAAGCAACAUGUAAUAAGAUCUUAAGGCGGUGUGCCUGUAACAUACCAAAAUUUUCGAAUUUUGGAAUGUUAAAUAAAAUUAAAUAAUUGAAUAAAACGAUCUGAGUAUCAAACAGAUUUAUCA